CAGUCGCCGCGGUAAUACAGAGGGUGCGAGCGUUAAUCGGAUUUACUGGGCGUAAAGCGUGCGUAGGCGGCUUCUUAAGUCGGAUGUGAAAUCCCUGAGCUUAACUUAGGAAUUGCAUUCGAUACUGGGAAGCUAGAGUAUGGGAGAGGAUGGUAGAAUUCCAGGUGUAGCGGUGAAAUGCGUAGAGAUCUGGAGGAAUACCGAUGGCGAAGGCAGCCAUCUGGCCUAAUACUGACGCUGAGGUACGAAAGCAUGGGGAGCAAACAGGAUUAGAUACCCCGGUAGUCCCUGUCUCUUUACA
rnacentral:rRNA from 1 species